rnacentral:rRNA from 1 species
AUUGAACGCUGGCGGCAUGCCUUACACAUGCAAGUCGAACGGUAACGGGCCUUCGGGUGCCGAGGAGUGGCGAACGGGUGAGUAAUACAUCGGAACGAGCCCGAUCGUGGGGGAUAACGAGGCGAAAGCUUUGCUAAUACCGCAUACGAGCUACGGAUGAAAGCAGGGGACCGCAAGGCCUUGCGCGGACGGAGCGGCCGGUGGCAGAUUAGGUAGUAGGUGGGAGAAAAGCUUACCAAGCCGACGAUCUGUAGCUGGUCUGAGAGGAUGAUCAGCCACACUGGGACUGAGACACGGCCCAGACUCCUACGGGAGGCAGCAGUGGGGAAUUUUGGACAAUGGGCGCAAGCCUGAUCCAGCCAUGCCGCGUGCAGGAUGAAGGCCUUCGGGUUGUAAACUGCUUUUGUACGGAACGAAAAGCCUUCUUUUAAUACAGGAGGGUCAUGACGGUACCGUAAGAAUAAGCACCGGCUAACUACGUG